UAUGAAGAUUAGAAAUAUGCAACCAAUUCUCUAACAUAAAAUACUUAUUGAAGAAUCCCCCUUCUUUUCUUCAGUAUUAUUGACCAAACACAUUUUUAAUUAGUUGACGGAUGCGAAUUAUCGGAAUCUUUUUAGUGAUGAUGAUGCAACCCCUUCACAAACUAGACAGUUGGAGGCACAAAGUGAGUCUACUCUUCUUCUCUCAUCAGAUUUUCAGAGCUCUGCUUAAUGAUUUCCAUAUCUUCCUAUAUACGUUGUUGGUUUGGAGAAGGAUCUUACGCAAUUGGAAGAACAAAUAAUGCGCGUUAGGUGCAAACUUAGUCCAGGUCAGGUUUUGAUCAGCAUUUUUCAUCUGCCUCAUUCUCACCACUUAAUUCUUUUCCAGAGGGGAUGGGGAUGUAUUUGCUAUAGAUCCUUGCAUGAGGUAGGUGAAGGUGUCCAUCAGAUGGAUUUGUGAAGCUGAUCAACCACGAUGUGUCAUGGCAAGCACAAACUGAUAAGGAUGAAAUAUUGUGUUUGCAGGAAUCAUGAGAGAAUAUUGAUACAGACCAUUAUGUGUUGGCUGCCAGUGAUAGUAAUCUUGUAUGAGCUAGUUCUUUGCUUGUUAUGGCUGAAGAUCACAGGGUAGCCAAAGCUCAAGUCUCUGCCUUAACAACAAUUUCAACACUGCACUUGUCCAUCGUGGGGAUGUAUUUGCUAUAGAUCCUUGCACGACGAGGAAUCAUGAGAGAAUAUUGAUACAGACCAUUAUGUGUUGGCUGCCAGUGAUAGUAAUCUUGUAUGAGCUAGUUCUUUGCUUGUUAUGGCUGAAGAUCACAGGGUAGCCAAAGCUCAAGUUUCUACCUCAACAACAAUUUCAACACUGCGCUUGUCUACAAGAUUUGUGUAUGCAGGAUUUCGAGAGCGUGGAGGCUCUUCCAGAGUUGUUGGGGUAACCUUACAUCUCUUACCCAUCUGAGGUGUACAACGUGUGGUUCAUAAUGCAGGUUUCAGCCAUAUAAAUGGUCAUGGACUCUUGCAUGGUUGCAUAUCACAGAGAACAAAGGCCUCUGCUCCUAGUCUUAUUUGAUAGCAUGUCAUUUACCUAUGCUAUUGCAAGACUCAGAGUCGAGAUUGAAAAAGAAACUCAUGCAUGCGAUGUGCCUGUGGUCUAGAACUUAUUGCUUUGGACAAAAUGGGUCAACUUGUUUGUUGUUGUGGUGCAGUUUAAUGAGGAAAAGUGUUUUCCAUCAACUUCUAAGAGAAGCUCUUCUCGUAGAGAAUACUUUUCCUGGCUAGUCAAGCCCUGGUCCUCUUUCUUCGAAGAAAGAAAGUCGAAGUGCUUUUAUGGGUGACCCUUGGAUGUACUUGCUUGCUACUUGGGGUUCUAUUUCUAUAGGGAAUAAUGGGAUGAGAGAAGCGAGAUAAAUUUAGUUUGAUGGUGAAAAUCUAUUUGUUUUUUUUUUUGUCAUACUCUUUGUACUCUUUUUCUUUUGAUCAAGUGAAUUAUCAUUGAUAUCAUCGCUCGUGGAUGUAGCCAACUUUGGGUGAACCACGUUAAAUAUGGUGUUUCAUUUUGUAUUUACUUUU